UGCAGGCGGCCCACCUGCCCCGCGAUCUUCUGCUCCACCUCCUCGCUCAGCCGCUCCAGCCGCCGGUCCACCUCCAGCUUCUCCAGCGCGCGGAUCUUGAGGCGCGCCAGGCCCUCCUCAAGAAAGAGGAAGGAGGAGCAGGAAGAGGGAGGAAGAAGAAGAGGGAUAAAGAAAGAUUCCUCACAGACACUGUUUAAGCCAGCUGGACAUGAGUCUGUUACCUGCACCAGGAAAAAGUCCUCCAGACAUUAGAAUCAGGAAUGGAAUUUUUAAAAGUAACAGACCCUAAGAAGGAAUUAGCUGAACUGGGGGGAGUACACAGUACUGAUCCUCCACUGAGAAGUGGGGAACCCUGCUACACAGCAGCAGAGCAGUUGACUAAGCUCUCCUGCUGCUUCUGAAGCUCAGACAAUGUUCCCACCAAGGCUGGAACUUCAGGGGACUUGUAGGAAAAGGUCACCGCCUUGGGGUGUGGCCUCAGUUCGGUCCAAUAAGAAAGACACUCUCUGGCCCAUCUGAGGGCAGAGGAAGAAAAUGCUGCUCUGCCCAGAGAGGCCCUUUCUGCCUGAGGCCAGUCAUCCAAUAUGGCUGAGAGUCAGAUAAUUAAGAGCCAGUUCUCUGCUUCUAGCUAAAGUCAGCUCAGGCAGAGACAGGGAGGCUGGAAACACAGAGGGAGACACGCCUGGGGCCUGUCAGGCUCUUCACUCCCCAGACCCUCCUGCAACCCUUCUGCUGUGCCCUCCCAGCUCCACAGAAGCAACCACUGCGUUCAUUAUAAGCAGCCUCCGCCGGGAUGCAGUUGGAGUGGGAAGGGGCAAAUGAACUGUGCCUCCCUCCAGACAGUGGGGAUUUGAACUGCCCUGUGGUAAAGGCCUACAUAGAGGCCACAGAACGAUGGACUCCUGGGAUGCGCAGAGUAUCAAGGCCUGUUGCUAAGAGACAACCCCUCCUGCUUCCCAACACCAUCACCAGGGACUCCAUUCAAGAAUUAUAACUUCAGUGAAGUCUCUAGUUUGGUUAAUAGCCCUGGGGAUGACUGAAUGCAAAUCAACUGAAAGCUUCCUAAUGAUUAAGGGAAUUGUAUUGCCAG